GUUAGAUCAUUUCCUUUAUUUAUCUAUGCAGGAGGACCCACAUUUUGAGGAUGUUGCCAAGGAUGAAACUUGCCCUUUUAUCUAAAGUUGGGUAACUCUGCAGUUACCCAUCCUCAGCAAAGCAGGACUGACUGAGGGGAAGAAAAUGAUUAAAGUUGCAUCAUCAGUGCGGCCCAGUCUCCCAUCUCUGCAGUCCAACUCCUCAUUAUUGAACACAAUACAGCCAAGAGGCAGUCAUUGUGCAGUCCACUCUCCCCCUGCACCCAGUUGCUUCCUCAAAGAGAAUCCAGCAUGAAGUUACACAUCAAGAAUGGCAGUUUUACGGCUCAUCCUAAACCGUUGGAUCAGGUUCUGGAAGAUUUCUGUGCACAUAAAAUAAAUGGAUAUUAAACAUUCUUCA
rnacentral:lncRNA from 1 species